rnacentral:tRNA from 1 species
CGCCGUGGCCAAGUGGUAAGGCAGAGGACUGCAAAUCCUUUAUCCCCGGUUCGAAUCCGGGCGG